AGCAGUCGCCGCGGUAAUACAGAGGCCUCAAGCGUUGUUCGGAUUCAUUGGGCGUAAAGGGAGCGUAGGCGGUUGGGUAAGUUGGAUGUGAAAUCCUGGGGCUCAACCUCAGAACUGCAUUCAAUACUGCUUGGCUAGAGUACUGGAGAGGUGAGUGGAAUUCACGGUGUAGCAGUGAAAUGCGUAGAUAUCGUGAGGAAGACCAGCGGCGAAGGCGGCUCACUGGACAGUUACUGACGCUGAUGCUCGAAGGCCAGGGGAGCAAACGGGAUUAGAUACCCGGGUAGUCCCUGUCUCUUAUAC
rnacentral:rRNA from 1 species